GGCUGUAAGUGCACCGUCUCUGAUUACUCACUGUGUAUCUACACAGAGCUCAGUGUGCUGCUGACUUUAAAGGAGAAACUGUCUUUUUAGCAAUCAUUAGUAGAAAGAAACAUCCAAAGGAUUAAAAGGGAGGAAACAGCUUUCACAUCUGAACAUGCACGGUCACCACCACCAUCACCACCAUCAUGGCUACAAUAUGGGUUUCCAAUCAGGAGGCUAUAUGGCACCUGGAGCCUAUGUCUCUCCUGGAGCCUACGUCUCACCCGGGACCUACGUCUCACCUGGGCCCUACGUCUCACCUGGAAUAGGAGGGGUUUUCCCAGGGGGUGUCGUACUACCAGCUUACCCUCCUACCCCAUACCAAGCAGUCGGUCUUCCAGCCGUUGGCCUUCCAGCUGUUGGUCUUCCUCGUCUUGGUCUGGGCAACCUUCUGGGCCUCGGUUUUCAUCAUCAUCACCAUCAUGGUCAUCAUCACUAACACCGAACCAGUGAACCUCUUACUCAGUGAUUUAUGGGGCUGCUACCAUAUUAUGAUCAUGAGAUUGCAGUUAUUCCUCUGCUGGCCUCAGGAGGUUGGGCUCUUCCUUUGAGUCUGGUUCCUCCCAAGAUUUCUUCCUACUGGGGAGCUUUCUCUUGCCACUGUCACCUCUGGCUUGCUCUCUGGGGACUUUUGGGGAAUGUAAGGUGCUUUGAGACAAUGAAAUAAUGUGAAAUAAGCUAUAUACAAAUUUAAUUUAAUGGGUAUCAGGAGUUCAGUUGUGAAGAUAAAAAUGAAAAUGUGUUAUCAUAACUUUAUCUGCUUAAUGUGUCCUCCUAAAACAAAAGGAGAAGCUUUAUAUAACUUAAUCUAUUGUUAAAUGUUUUAUUGUUUAACAAAAUAAAGAGAAUUUGAAAAAAGCAUGGAACUGAAUUCACAGAUCUUUUAUUCAAUUAUUGGAAGUAUGAAAUAAAAUAUUACCUCUGAGACACA